UACGGGGGGAGCAAGCGUUGUUCGGAAUCACUGGGCGUAAAGGGCGCGUAGGCGGUCAGGUAAGUGGGAUGUGAAAGGCUCCGGCUCACCCGGAGACAUGCAUCUCAUACUGCUUGGCUAGAGUGCAGCAGAGGAAACGAGAAUUCCAGGUGUAGCGGUGAAAUGCGUAGAUAUCUGGAGGAAUACCGGUGGCGAAGGCGCGUUUCUGGGCUGUUACUGACGCUGAUGCGCGAUAGCUAGGGGAGCAAACGGG
rnacentral:rRNA from 1 species